AUGAACGCUGGCGGCGUGCCUAAUACAUGCAAGUCGAGCGAACGGACGAGAAGCUUGCUUCUCUGAUGUUAGCGGCGGACGGGUGAGUAACACGUGGAUAACCUACCUAUAAGACUGGGAUAACUUCGGGAAACCGGAGCUAAUACCGGAUGAUAUUUUGAACCGCAUGGUUCAAAAGUGAAAGACGGUCUUGCUGUCACUUAUAGAUGGAUCCGCGCUGCAUUAGCUAGUUGGUAAGGUAACGGCUUACCAAGGCAACGAUGCAUAGCCGACCUGAGAGGGUGAUCGGCCACACUGGAACUGAGACACGGUCCAGACUCCUACGGGAGGCAGCAGUAGGGAAUCUUCCGCAAUGGGCGAAAGCCUGACGGAGCAACGCCGCGUGAGUGAUGAAGGGCUUCGGAUCGUAAAACUCUGUUAUUAGGGAAGAACAUAUGUGUAAGUAACUGUGCACAUCUUGACGGUACCUAAUCAGAAAGCCACGGCUAACUACGU
rnacentral:rRNA from 1 species